GGCCGGCCCACCUGAUCCACACCCAGGCGGCUUCCACACCACCCUGCAGCAGGCCUGGCCACUAGCCUCAGCUCUUCUGGGAGACGAGCAGCCACGUGGAAGAUGGCGAGGGCUUCUGGACUGAGCCCUGGAGGGGAGCUGGGGGCCACCAGCAGGCAGAUGAGCCCUGGGACCCAGCUGGCCGACCCACCAGACCACAGUGACAAGGACUGCUUGGGAAGGAUAAGCCCAGGUUCAGGAAAGGAAAUUCAGGCUGCAAGACAGCUGCCCAGGCCCCCACAAGCCUGGCACCAGCCUAAGGAAGACUGAGGAGCCUCACUCCGUGGAGAAUGCAAACACCUGAACACAGUGAAUCUGAAGGUAUGGGGCAUCUUCAGGCUGCUGCUGAGGCAGUCCCGCCACACCCAACCCAGAACCUCAUCACUGAAAGGGACCUCAUGGUUCAGGGUAGAGUGCAGUGGCGUGAUCUCGGCUCACUGAAACCUCCACCUCCCAGGUUCAAGCAAUUCUCCCGCUUCAGCCUCCCAAGUAGCUGGGAUUACAGAUAAGUGCUGCCACGCCUGGCUAAUUUUUUUUUUUUUAAUUUUUAUUUUUAGUAGAGACGGGGUUUCACCAUGUUGGCCAGGCUGAUCUUAAACUCCUGACCUCAGGUGAUCCAUCUGCCUUGGCCUCACAAAGUGCUGGGAUUAUAAGCGCGAGCCACAGUGCCCGGCCGUGGAUGUGCAUUUUUUUUGGAAGAGGGUCCACAGCUUUCAUCGGAAUCUCCAAGGGUCAAUGGCCACUCAGAGACACAGGACUGCCACCACCAUGGCAGUUUCCUGCCAGGCAGGAAUGCCUUUCUGCCGUGGGAGGAGUCUCCAGUCUGGCCACCACCCUGGGCAGACCUGAACGGCGUGAAACUGGUGGCCUCACGUGGUGCCCUGGGCAAGCGGCGCAGCUGAAGAACCACAGGGUGGGUCUGGCUACCUGGCGACCCUGCACCAUCGCACCCGUGUCCAAGCUCAGUCUCACUGUGUCAACACCAGCUGCGGGAAGAAGGUGGCGGGCUGGGGCCCGGGCAUCUUGUCUCUGGAUUUACAACUCUGAAGGCGCCCACCUCUUCAGCACAGCUGGUGAUGCUGACUGUGCCGCUGCCACGUGGGGACCUCUGUCACCAGCAGUCAGGAAGCACUAGAUCAUUUGUUCUUGUUUGGUUUUUUUAGGUAGGAUGGUUUGGAGUUUAGGUAGGAUUUGGCAUCAGCUUCUGAAUGAGAGGUAUAAACUAAAACCUUGGUUCCAGUCUAGCGGUCCCCAGCCUUGGCACAAGAACUGAGGACUCCUGUAGGCUCAUCCUAGCCAACGGUAGCACAGUCUCCCCAGCGAGGCAAUGGACAGCGGUGCCCCUCUGCAGCCCAUGGCUUAAGCUUACCUCUGCCUUCUCCUAGACCUCCCCUGACCUCCCUCUCCAUCCCCAUAGGCCAGAUUACAGAGACAAGUCUACAACAGGCUUUUGGCUGCCAGAGGGAGGCUUUUAAAUCCCAGAUUGGAUCCUGCCAUUCCCACUUGUGAUACUGUCUCCACAGCCUCCAGCGCAAAAGCUAAGCCCUCUGCAGGAUACACCAGUCCCCGCGUGUCCGUCCAGACCACUCCCUGAGUUCCAUGACCCAGUACCUGAGUCUGCCUCCCUCCUUCUCCUGGGAUGCUCAGAGUCACAUGGAACAGAGCUCUUGACCACCCCACCCACACCUGCUCUUCCUUCCAGCCCUGGUGUGCAAAUGACAUCAGGACAGCCGGGGUCUGGCUCACACGAAAUUUCUAGAAGGCAGUCAUUCCCUCACCUCUCUCCUGCCUACCCCAUCCCACCCAGCAGUGAAUUCUGCAGUUCCACCUUCAACAUGGAGCCCAAACCCACCCAACUUUCUCCACAUGCUGCUCCUCCCCAGCCUGAGCCCCCAUCCCCUCUGAUGGGUACAAUGGUGACAGCUCUCUAGCAGGUCUGCAUCCACCAGGCCCCUCCUAGAUCCACCGUCCACAGAGGAGCCCCCUGUGCUUCCCUCCCUUCUCGUCCCUACCAUGAAACUACUGACCCCACGGGACUCAGACAAAGCUAAAGGAUCCAACACGAAGGUUUAGCACUGCACUGAGGCCCUGGAAGCCUGGCUGCGUUGACUGGCAUUAGCUGUUAUUCCCAGCCAGUCUUCUCAGUGCCUGAGCUCAGGCACCAUGGCCCUCCCUUUCCGGUAACUUCACCCCUCACAUCAGUCGCUCCCCUUUCCAGUAACUUCCUGGCUACUUCUCUGCCUCACCACUAGAGUAAAUGAAUGAAGGUCAGGGACACACUCGGGGCCAGCUCUUAUCUUGGAGCCUGCAGGGGUGAGCACAGGCAGGUGCACUGGAACGCGUGACCACGUGAACACGAGAGAACGGUGACAUUCACUGAUCUGCUCCAUCCAUGCAGGGGGCUUGUAGGGGCACAUUUCAUCAUCACCUGCACCUGCGUGCUUGGAAAACAUGCUCAGGGUGCCGAGGGAGGAGGAUAAGUUCACAAAUGAUAUCGACGAGGGAAGAACCCUGGCUAGGGGUCUGCGGGGAGAAGCUCUUGGGGAGAGUGCACCUUUUCUCUUCAUGAGUGACUGGCUCUCCCAGGGCCCAGGUUCACUGUCAAGUUCAGGCGGAAGAAACCCCUGUAUAAGACCCACCAUCCACUUUAGCCCGAGAUGACAAUGUCACCCAAAGAAAAAGUGACAUGGGGCAAGUCCAGGGGACUCAGACCAGGGCGCAACUGUGACAGUGCCCUCCCCGGGGAGUCCCUUCACCUUGCAGGGAGUAUGGAGGGAGCUGCAAGGAAAUUAUUUUGCUGCCUGGCCUGCACUGCCCCCAUGUGGAAGACUGCACCAUUACAGCUAACCUGGACGCACAGGAGACAACAGCUCCUGGGGCGGGUGAUUUAUCCUUAAUCUUGGAUGUGAUUAAUGACCGCCCACGCUCCAGGCUGUCCUUGAACAACUUCCCCUUGUCAGUCCUGUUGGUCCCACAUCAUCCUGGACAAACAGACGGUGCUGAGUCAAAUCAACUGUAAGUAUCUCACUGCAGUCACCGGUAUUACAACUUGCGUUUAUUGACCUCCAAUAGCUUACAUUUUUUUUUUAAUAUUUAAAAAUAAGUAAGAACGAUUCAUUUUCUUUCAUUCUUUUUUUUUUUUUUUCGGACAUGGUCUCACUCUGUUACCCAGGCUAGAGUGCAGCGGUGUGAUCUCAGCUCACUUCAACCUCUGCCCCGCUCUGGCCCAAGCGAUCCUCCCACCUCAGCCUCCCCAAGUAGCUGGGACCACAGGCACAUGCCACCAUGCCCAGCUAAUUUUUUGUAUUUUCAGUAAAAACAGGGUCUCGCCAUGUUGCCCAGACUGGUCUUGAACUCCCGAGCUCCAGCGAUCUGCCUGCCUCAGCCUCCUGAAGUGCUGGGAUUAGAGGCGUAAGCCAUCAUGCCUGGCCCCCAAUGGCUUCUAAUCCACUUAUCUAUCCAUCAAGCCUGGGUGGGAUGGGCUUGUUCAGUGUCCUUCAGAUUCCCUCAUCAAUUAACUCUUUUGUGUACAAGGGUGUCCCAAAAGCAGCAGCCAUGAGUAGGGUUUGCCUUGGGUCAUUGCGGUAGUCUCCUGCAUCCGGGAAAGAUCUAGGUCACUUGCUUUCCACAAACCCUCUGGCUGAAACAAGCCACUUACCUGGCUGCAGUGAAGACACUGAUGCCGCUACUGAAGCUGGAGUCACAGGAACCAUCUGGACCUCCUGGGAGAAGAAGAGGAACAAGGGGUCAUGAAAGGCUGUUGGGUCUCUUGAAUAAACAAGACCCCUGUGACAAGCACACACAGAACUCUCCAGAGCCCAAUACCUUGAUUCAGGCUCUUCAAAAGGACCAUGGCUCUGGAGCCCUGAGAACCCAAUGCCCAGUCAUUCUCGAUAGUCCCCGAGCUUGUAAAUUUGUAGUCACAGUGAUCUCACAAGGAGGGGACACCAGUGCUGAACACACCUGGCAAAUCUCAGAAGGGAUCACCGGCCUGAGGAGAAUGGAUGUUUAAAAUGACAGAUACCCAGUGUCCCUAGCUAUCAGGAAAAUGCAAAUCAAAACCACAAGAUACUACUGUACACCCAUCAGGAUGGCUAAAAGACAGAUAAUAGCAAGUGUUGAUGAGGAUGUGGAGAAACUGGAACCCUCAUAUAUCGCUGGUGGGAAUGUAAAAUGGUGCAAGCUGCUUUGGAGAACAGUCUGGCCAUUCCUCCAAAGGCUAAACAUAGAGUCACCACGACUCAGCAGCUCUACUCCUAGGUAUGUACCAAAGAGAAAUGAAAACUUAUGGCCACACAAAACCUUGUACAUCAAUCAUGUUCACAUCAGCAUUAUCUACAAUAGCCAAAAAGCAGAAGCAACCCAAAUGUCUAUCAACAGAUGAAUGGAUAAAUGUGUGGUAUAGCCAUACAAUGGACUAUUAUUUGGCAAUAAAAAGGGAUGAAGUACUGAUGCAUGCCAUAACAUGAAUGAACUUUAAAAACAUUGUGUUAAGUGAAAGAAGCCAAUCAUAAAAGACUACAUAUUGCAUGAUUCCCUUUCUCGAAAAGUGUUUAGAACAGGCAAACCUAUGGAUACAGAAAGUGGACUGGAGGUUGCCUAGGACUGGAGGAGAUGGGGGAAUAGGGUGUAAUGGCUAAGGGAUUCUUUCAAGGGCACAGAAAAUAUUCUAAAAUUGAUUGUGGUGAUGGUUACAUAACCUUGUGAAUCUACAAAAGUCACUGAAUUGUAUACUUGAUGUUGGGUGAAUUGUGUGGUACACGAAUUCUCUCUCAAUAAAGCGCUUAAAAAAUGA